GACGAACGCUGGCGGCGUGCUUAACACAUGCAAGUCGAACGGAAAGGCCUUUUCGGAGGUACUCGAGUGGCGCACGGGUGCGUAACACGUGGGUGAUCUGCCCUGCACUCUGGGAUAAGCCUGGGAAACUGGGUCUAAUACCGGAUAGGACCGCACUUUAGUGUGUGUGGUGGAAAGUUUUUUCGGUGUAGGAUGAGCCCGCGGCCUAUCAGCUUGUUGGUGGGGUAAUGGCCUACCAAGGCGGCGACGGGUAGCCGGACUGAGAGGUUGGUCGGCCACAUUGGGACUGAGAUACGGCCCAGACUCCUACGGGAGGCAGCAGUGGGGAAUAUUGCACAAUGGGCGCAAGCCUGAUGCAGCGACGCCGCGUGGGGGAUGACGGCCUUCGGGUUGUAAACUCCUUUCGCCAGGGACGAAGCGUUUUGUGACGGUACCUGGAGAAGAAGCACCGGCUAACUACGUG
rnacentral:rRNA from 1 species